GCUAUCGAGGUUCGACUAAGCCAUGCGAGUCGAAUGUAGCAAUACAUGGCGUACUGCUCAGUAACACGUGGACAACCUACCCUUGAGUCGGGGAUAAACCCGGGAAACUGGGUAUAAUACCCGAUAGUCCUCGGGUGCUGGAAUGCAUCGAGAACGAAAGCUCCGACGCUCAAGGAUGGGUCUGCGGCCUAUCAGGUAGUAGUGGGUGUAGCGUACCUACUAGCCUACGACGGGUACGGGUUGUGAGAGCAAGAGCCCGGAGAUGGAUUCUGAGACACGAAUCCAGGCCCUACGGGGUGCAGCAGGCGCGAAAACUUUACAAUGCUGGAAACAGCGAUAAGGGGACCUCGAGUGCCAGGUUACAAAUCUGGCUGUCGUGAUGCCUAAAAAGCAUUGCAUAGCAAGGGCCGGGCAAGACCGGUGCCAGCCGCCGCGGUAACACCGGCGGCUCGAGUGGUAACCGUUAUUAUUGGGUCUAAAGGGUCUGUAGCCGGCCGGAUAAGUCUC
rnacentral:rRNA from 1 species